AUUUGACUCCAAUGAGCACAAUUUUCAGCACAUUGUUGAAUAACAUCUUGCCUGAUGCUGGAGAAUUUUAUUCAUCAAGGGAAGUGUCUAGCCUGUCCCUUCUCAUGUUUCAGGCAUAUUUUUAAAGAUGGAAUUUUCACUCCAUCACCUUUUAAUACCUACGAAGCAAUUUUCUUUUAUGUUACCUACUUCAAGUUCUUUGUAGGGAUGUGCAGGAUAGAGUCGUUUUGCUAUCCAGCCAGAUACAGGAUAUAUGUUGAAUAGUUGAAAAAUAUCCAGCCAGAUUCCGGUUAUUAGGAGCCGAUUACAUGGACCAGGCAAACCUGGCUAGCCCGAUUACUAUAAUAAUCUCAUAUAAAUUUUGAGUUUCAAUUACAUGGCAGCCGGGCCAGCCUGCUUUGCCAGGAAUCCUGGCUGUCGCAACCGAGCUGGCCGGGCUGAAAUUCGCUAUGUAAUUGCUUCAGCCGAGCAUACCGGGCUGAAAAUUGCAAACACAUGGUUUUUAUUUUGAAAUUAUUAACAAAUAAUAGCACAAAAACCACAAAUUUGCACUAAAGUACUGCUUUUGAGCAUUAAAUAAACCCUUAAACGUUUUAGAUAGUGAAUCGACUGGAUUUAGUGGAGCAUAAGCGAAACAAUACCUAAUAUAAAUACAUCAACGAAUACUAAUCACAAUGUAGGGAAGCCCUAAAAUUCCGCAUAUAAACACUCUUUAGUUAUAAUAUCCAGCAAUGAUUAUUCAAGUAUUAAAACUUUUCAAUAUAAUGAGCUUACUUCAGCCCAGUUAACCGGGCAGGCACACUACAUGUAAUUGUAAAUUAAAAGUCAUCUCGCUCAGCUGUCCGGUCCAUGUAAUCGGGCCCCUUAUUCAAAUAUAUAAGGUCCAGGCCUCAUUUAAGGUUAAGUAAUCAUUUUAAUUGGUUAAAAAGUGAUGGUGUUAAUAAUACUUUGAUUUGAAAUAAUAGGAAUGAAUUUCACAGUCUAAUACUGGUAAACAUGCAUCAUUGGUAGUAAAAGCCUCACUUGCAUUAGUUCGAAGGGCAAACCUGCAUUUACAAAAAUUUGAAAAUAGCGUAAGCAUUCCUAUGAUCAAUCAUUGGAUAAAAAUAUGAUAAGGUACCCCACCUUUUUAACCUAAUCAAAUCAUUUUCCAACUUGUAAAGAAGGCCUGAACCUUAUAUAAAUAAUAUCCAGCAUUGGGCGGCCAGGUCUACCAUAAAAUGAAAUGAAGUAAAAACUCAGUAUCUGGCCAGAUAUGAUAUCCAUUGCAUCCCUAGUUAUUUGUUAUCAAUAAAUAAUGUUCCUUUGUUUUAAAAUGCCAAGUUUACAACUUUACUUAAUUACUUGUUAAGGAGAGAGUGUUGGAUAUACGUCUAUGAGAUGACUGUAUGUUCUUGGUAUUCAAUUUUCUUAUUUAAUUAAAGAUAUGCACCAUUUGUACCCUUUUAUAGCUAACCCUCAGACGUAUAAUGGCUUCCCUUCCACAUGCACUGGGAGACAGACAGACCCACCACAACAAGACAGACCCACCACAACAAGACAGGCAAGCUUUUUUUGCGAUUCUUCAUGUAAGUUUACUAAUAUUUUUCUUUUUGAUGUAGGUUAACCCAUUGAGACCCAUUGCGCCCUGCUUUAUUAUUUUACUCUCUCUAACGCCAUAUGAUUUACUUGUCAAGGGGAGAGCUCUGGUGCUUAAUGGGUUAAGCAUUAUUUAUAUUUUUUACUCUGUAAUGCUGUCAUGCAAUGCCAUUGUGAACCAAUUGAAUCAUACUGUACCAUACUAUUAGCAUUAAUUGUACCAAGAUGUGAUGGUCUUAACUCUUUAAUAAUUCUAAUUUCAACACACAAGUGGCUGUCGAAACAUUAAAUUAUAACUGUUUGAAGCCACCUGUAAAUGAUUUCUUGAACUAUAACAUGUUCCUAGUUUGUAGCAUUCAGCUUUGUUAUUCAUACAAUUGCCUGUAUACAGUAGUGCUUUAAUGUGCAAAAUUGUCCAUUUUUGAGUAACUAUAUGCAGGGGUGUGGUUUAGUUAUUAGUUAUAUAUAGUGUAUAGUAGUUUGAUUAAAUUUAAUUUACCACGUCUGACCCCAGGCCUAGAGCAAGUGUCAUUUGUGUAUUCAAGUUUGAUUCAACGUAAAAAGAGAAUUAAUUUUAAACUUCCCUGCCAUUGUGGUAAAUAAUUGUCAGUAUUUAUGGUUUCAAAGCAAAGGUUGAGUUAUAGUGUAAUUAACUGUUCUAGUAAGAAUGGUGUCGUAAUUAAUAUUUAUAAUUGUGAAUACUAUGCACUGAUUAAUAAAUGCAAUAUAUUUUGUAGGGAACUGGUGAUGUGAAGCGACAGUCUCACCUGCAAUCCAUUUGUGUGGUACCGGUACCUCUGUGUUUGAUACUUCGGUUAUAUGUAUGUUGUUGGGAAAGGAAAAGUGCUGUGUGACGCUUUACGUGAAUUCAAACUUUUAGACUGUCUAAAUCUGUUACUUUUCGUCCAAUACACGUACAAUUUGGAUUUAUAUAAAGUCCAGAGAAGUGCAAUGACAUUUUUAGAGAAAGAGAGAAAUCAACCUGUGCAAUGAACUCUAAUAACCAAAUCCCUCUUAGUGUUAGUCAAGUUUUUACUCUGUUGGGUCAGUGAAGGAUUCAGACUUUAAUGCAUUCUCUUUACGUUUAUGUUUGUAUAUAAUUAGCAUUUAGUGACGUAUUAAAUCCAUUUUUUAAAAGGAGAGAUAAAUUUGUCUGUUUAAUUACGUCCCAUCUUAUUUUCUGCACUGAAGGCUAUGUUACACGAAACAUGAAUGUUAAUGUGAAUGUUAGAAAUCAUUUACA
rnacentral:lncRNA from 1 species